AUCACUUCUCAGCCUUUUGGCUUAGAUGAAGUGUAGUCCCUGUUGGUUCACAGGGGCUUGCAUGUAGGACCUCAGCCUCUUGUGGGCCAACAUCACCUUGAAUGGCAUUGUGUAGUUAAGGGUGGAGGCUUGUCCAAUGCACUGUGGGCAGCCCCCCCACACCCUCAUGAAAGUCUACUAUAGCCUUGCACAGGGAGGAUCUUAG
rnacentral:snRNA from 1 species